UGUUGUCAGAAGACCUGCCUUUCAAUAAACAUUUAGAGGCAAGGAAAAUGAUAUAGAUCUGAAACUUGAAUAUAUGUACAGAGUGGAAAAGUAUUGAAGCAGGAACAGUGAAGAAUAGAAAGAAUCUACUAGACAACGAAGUAUGGAGAAAGCCAGUGCUAAAAUACAGAGAACUUCCCGGUGACCAUGUAUGAACACUUGGAAGUAACUUGUCUGGACAUUUGAAUUGGGUUCCACAUCCAUUUUAUGCUCUCCCACUAUGGAGCAGCCAUGCUGUUGAUGGUAUUGACUACACCUUUUGUUCCAAACAAAGGCUUUCCUUGUCCUAACCUGGCUAAUCAAGCUCAUCAGUUCUCCAUGUGAAUUGCCUAAGCAGCUGACUCAAGAAUGAGCUUGUGGCCAUGCCCUAAAGCAAGAGCUCAUAGCAUUUCUCUGACUGCAGAGAUGAC